CAGGCGUGGCGAGGGGCGGGGUCCGGGGCGAGGAGUGGUGGACGCCCUGGGCACGCUUCAGGGGGCGGGAAACUGAGGCAUGGAGCGCGUCCUGGGGCGCGCCUGGGAGGGGUGUAGUGCGCGCGGAACGUGCGGCGGCGCAGGCACGGCUGGGAGACAGGCCCGAGGCGCUGGCCGGGCCCGGCGGGGUCAAUCGCUGUUCUUUUAAUGUUGCUGGAGAAUGUACUGCUCUCCCUCCAACAGUGAAGGAAAUGCGACAGCGGAACGUCCUAGGGCCCCGGGGGCUUGCUAGAGAGACUGCAGGUGGAAACAGACCAGGGCCAGGCCACCUGUAAGGAUGGACCUGUACCCACGCCCUGCGGCCGCCCCCUACCCGCGACUGCCGGCGCACGAGCCCGGCCCCCCACCUGCAGCGACCGGCCGGGAAGCCAGCGUGCCACAAGUCAGAGUUGCAGGAAGUCAGACCAGCAUCUCCAGCAACUGGUCCAGGAGGCCGCACAACCACCCCGUGACACUCAGCCCCAGAUGGCCAGAACGUGAUCAGUAACUGACAGCUUCCCCAAUUUCUGUCCUUCCUUCCAACUUGGGACCAACCAGAGAAAGCCAAAAUGCUCCCCUAACCAAUCGCGAGGACACCCCGCUUCCAGAUCCCCACCUCCAGCAUCCUCGGGCCCCCAUCCGCCAUGGCCGCAUCCGGGCAACCCUGAGCCCCCGUUUCUUUCCGCUGAAGUCUCUGCUCCUCCGCCUACCUUUGGGUUUCUGCCAUCACAAGUGUCGACCCCGCCUGCUACAGUGCGCCCUGAGUAGCAGCCUCUGCUGUUUUCACCUGGGGGUCCUUGUUUCCAUUCUAGCCUGGUUUUCCCUCCCCACGUGGAGCCCUCUCCAACUCCCAGCAAAUGCCAUCACUCAGAGGACCCCAUGCAAGGGAGGCCUGACUUCCUGCAGCAUCCGUGUAAACCCGCCUUUGAGAAGGAAGAUCAGCCCUGAGCUAACAUCUGCUGCCGAUCCUCCUCUUUUUGCUGAGGAAG